GUUAUAGGGUCAAGCGAACAAGUGCAUGUGGUGGAUGCCUUGGCGAUCACAGGCGAUGAAGGACGCGGUAGCCUGCGAAAAGCUACGGGGAGCUGGCAAACAAGCUUUGAUCCGUAGAUGUCCGAAUGGGGAAACCCACUCCUUUUGGAGUAUCCAUGGCUGAAUACAUAGGCCAUGUGAAGCGAACGCGUGAACUGAAACAUCUAAGUAGCGCAGGAAAAGAAAUCAACCGAGAUUCCCAAAGUAGUGGCGAGCGAAAUGGGAUGAGCCUUGCACUCUUUAUUUGUAUUGUUAGCCGAACGCUCUGGAAAGUGCGGCCAUAGCAGGUGAUAGCCCUGUAGGCGAAAACAGUAUGAAAGAACUAGGUGUGCGACAAGUAGGGCGGGACACGUGAAAUCCUGUCUGAAGAUGGGGGGACCAUCCUCCAAGGCUAAAUACUCGUGAGUGACCGAUAGUGAACCAGUACCGUGAGGGAAAGGUGAAAAGCACCCCGGGAGGGGAGUGAAAUAGAUCCUGAAACCGCAUGCAUACAAACAGUCGGAGCCUCGUAAAGGGGU
rnacentral:rRNA from 1 species